UGAGUGCAUUUAUGACUUUUUAUGUCUAUCUUGGUUAUUGUGCCAAAUGCUUAAAUUCUUUUCUGUUACCAUUUGGGACUUCUGGCUCCUUUUAAUAACUUGAGAUAAAAACAGGACGAAUUGUAGCCUUCCCUGACCAUCCUCUGGGUUCCGGUCUCACAUCUACUGCUGCGAAAGCAAGAUAUUCUGUACUGAAGAUUUCUCAUUGAUUUCAAGUGGCGCUCCCUUGAGGAACUAGGUCUUGUAGCAGGGAUUCCUGUUGGGACUUUGCUAAUUGAUGCUCAUGCCGGUGGUGUGGGGGUAUUGGAAAGUGUGCCUUCAUCAGAUUCUCAGCCUAAAGGUUGCCCUAUUAUUCUUCCAUGGGAGAGUGAGCCUGUGCUAUUGGGUGCUGCCAUUCUUGGUGCUGUAGCUGCAAGGAAAUAUUUUAGUAUGCAUGAUGCCAUGAAGGCCCUGAAUGCUUCGGGGCAGGUCAUCCAUCCAUCCAAAGACCCUAAGGUGAAGAAGUACCAUGAUGCCAAGUACCGCAUUUUUUGUGACCUUUAUGACCAGCAGCUAUCUCAUUGUUCGCUGAUGGCUGAAGCCUUGACAUAGGUUCUUGUGCCUCUUUGCAUCAGUGGGUGGCAGUAGGACAGUGGUUCUCUCACUCAAUAGAUUCAUUUAUGGGACCAAUGUGCUUUCUAUAUCGGAAGAGAAAAUGCCUGGUGCUGUGAAGUUAUGUUGAAGAAAAUACACAUUUUUUAAUUUUUAUAUGUAAAGCCUCGACUUUUGCAACUCUUUGAAGGAAGUUUUUCAAAAGCCAAAUUAAUGUACAGGAAAAAGCAGUGCUAAAGAAAAUUGAGAAUUAGUACAGUUAAUAGUUUGAGGUUCAUCUGGUAAAAAAUUGUGUUCUGCCUUACUAUUGAUAAUAAUCUGUGUUACUAUUGAUAAUAAGCUUAAAUUAUUUGGAUUUUCUGCCACAUUCAUGAAACGAUUUUGAGGUUAAUUUUU